GAAACCGGCCCGGGCGGCCCUGCGGGGAGCGUCCGAGUACCUGCACAGAUCACAUGCUGUGAAAGAGGUGUUUCUGGCCUGGUCAAACCGUGGAUUCCCUUCCAGUAUUUGCCCUUCCUCUCCACUAGUUUUCAGUGAACUCGCUUACGAUCCAAAUCUUGAGCACACCUUUGUCAGUGUACGACGAUAGUCUUGGAAUCCCAUAAGCAAGAACAGUGUCUCUGCUUUUUCAAGUCAUCCAUUUUAUCUCUCGCUUUUACAGUUCUGCCUACAGUUGUCACAAAUCACCUGCAGAUGAUUCCUGUGUACUAUACGUUCCUGGUGCUAUUGUGAACAGGCUUGUUGUUUUCAGUGCUUUGCGUCUGGUGUGUAGGACGGCAACACACAAACAGUUUGUAAACGUGCUAGGAUGUCUUCCAUUCAUUAUCGUGUGUGUGCGACGUGUGCGUUUUAGAGAGGCAUUCACAUUUGCACUACUUAGUCCAGUUAUUUAGUGUUUUUUAUAUGAUAUGUUUUAAGCUUCAUUAGUAUUACAUACCUCAUUGCUCUUAUUAGACAAAUGAUGUUAGUGUUUUCCUCCGUUUUGUUUUAGAAACUGUCUCUGGGAAAGGAGAUGGGAGACAGGAAUGAGAAACGUCUGUGUGCUGUAUGCCCUCUUUAAUCUUUCUAAAUACCUAUCUUAUACAUGUGAUGAGAUACACAGGAAAAGAGACCGGCCAUGUUCUAGGGGAAACCAUUAGCUCUGUGUACUGUGUUAGUCACAAGUCAGCAUGGAGGCGAAGCAUUACAGGACCCCUGGGAACCUGGUCUACCCUGGGGUCAUAGGAGCAGUUCUUUGACUUCACGGCAAAAGAACGUUAAAGGAGCCCUUGGUAAUAGUCUAUUGCCUGGAUUUGAAUGGGGGAGGAAGAGGAAGAAGGAGGGAGGGUGGGAGAGGGAGAGAGAGAGAAGGAAGUAGGGAGAAAAGAACGGAAGGAAGGAAGGAAGGAGAGAGAGAGAGAGAAAGGCUGGAAGUAGGCUGGAU
rnacentral:lncRNA from 1 species